UACGUAGGGUGCGAGCGUUAAUCGGAAUUACUGGGCGAAAGUGUGCGCAGGUGGCCGCGCAAGUCGAGUGUGAAAUCCCCGAGCUUAACUUGGGAAUUGCGCUCGAAACUACGUGGCUAGAGUGUGGCAGAGGGAGGUGGAAUUCCACGUGUAGCGGUGAAAUGCGUAGAGAUGUGGAGGAACACCAAGUGGCGAAGGCAGCCUCCUGGGCCAACACUGACACUCAUGCACGAAAGCGUGGGGGAGCAAACAGG
rnacentral:rRNA from 1 species